rnacentral:misc_RNA from 1 species
AUCUAUGAGCAUAGAUAUCUAUGAGUUUGAAGAAAGGUUAUGUUAGACAAUCUGUCAUCUUAUUUUUCUGGAAAGACUAUAAUUUGAUUUCAAACGUAUAUUUACGAGAAUGUAAAAUAAGCUAAUUUUCUUCGUAGAAUUUUUACUUCCAACGGUUUUAACUUCGGGGGUUUACUGUACAUGCGGAUUUUAUUUUAAAAUAUAAUUGUCUCCAAUUUUUUUUAUAAUGGAUACUGAUAAAAGGAAUAAAAGCACAGACUGUGUAGAUUCUGAAGAGGAAAGAGAUGUAUUUGAUGUCAAAGAAAGUGAUAAUUUGUACCAAGAAGUUCGAGAUAUUUUGAGUCAACUCACAUCUAAAAACUUCCAAAACUGUUUUAUUAAAAUUCGAAGUUUAAAGAUUAAUACUUGUGAAGAAUUGCAUGGAAUAGUCAACUUACUUUUUGAAGAAAUUAUGAAUUAUGAGUCUUGUGCUUUGUUAUGCAGGGAAUUGGUUUUGAUGCCGAUGCUCAAGAGUGAAGAGUUGAAAAAAAAGUUUGGUGUUAAAUUCACUACUUUUCGAAUGCUGUUGUAUAUCAGAUGUGAAGUAGAGCUGAAAAAGAUACUUAAUGAUGAUGAGUACCUGAUAAAUUUAAUGUUCAUUGAUGUAUAUUAUAAUACCUUUCUCCAUAUCAGUGCUGAUGUGUAUUAUACUUCAGAAGAGCAAAAAGAAUUUCAUAAUGAAGGGAAACAAUUUCAUAAACAAUUAAAUGAAACUUCAAUUACUUUUAUAAAGUUUUUGGGUGAACUUUACAGACAAUUCGUAAUAACAAAUGAUAUACUGAGAAAAUUUAUGGUGAAUGUAAUUGUUGAUAUGGGUCAGAAAUACUUAAGUUGUAUUAAUUAUUUGUCAUCUGCAAUUGGUGAGGAGUUAAGAAAGAAUCCAGUAUAUCAACAAACUUCAGAUUCGAAAGUAAUUAAACAAGAGACAGAUGACAAACAUGUGCCUGAAGAGCAACUCGGCAUUUUGAUAGAAAACACAUAUGAAAGGAAAGAAUUAGUUUCAAACAGUUCAGUUUUUAAAGAAGUAAAGGAAAAUAUUAAAAAAAAAAUUGAUGAAAAGGACCGUAAGGUAUACACUUUAGAAAAUUUAUUACUACUGCGAAAUGUCCCAAGCAGUAUAAAAUUACCAGAAAACUAUAAAAACGCUUCCAUUCGUCCCUUAACGCCUCAGACGGACAUUCAAGACACAGAAAAAUUAUAUCCAAUGGAAGCUGCAGUUUACACAGUUUCUGCAUCAUCUUCAGCUUCUGAGGAAAUAGGCACCCAAAAUAAAACUAUGAUGGAGGUUCCUCAACAAGAAUCUCGGAAAAAACGACAAAGAAGUAAACAAUUGACUGUUGAUCCUGGUGUGUGGAUGGAUCCAGUGAAAACUGCGGUUUGCAAGUCUUCUGAUUUAGUUUCUCCCGUUCAUGAAACAAUCUCCCAGAAUAAUACUGCAAUAAUGGCUCUUCCAAAGAAAUCUAAGCAAAAACAACUUACAUUAAUCGUUGAUCCCGUCACAGGUAGAAAAAUGUACAAGUUAGUUGAAAAACAGGAAGAAAACAAAUUGAAUUUGAAAUCAAACCCGUCGUCAGUGUCUCAACCGGUGGAAUCAGCGAAGACGAAAGAGGAGCUCCAUAAAAUUGUUAACAAAACCAUAACAAAAUUAACUUCCUCCAGCCUCAAAUCGACUGUCGAUAGGAUAACGAGUCUCAAAGUUAACACUUACGAAUAUGUUAAGUACGUGAUCGAAAUUAUAAUGGAAAGAACAAUAAAUAAGUUUGAAUCUUGUGCUUUAUUAUGUAAGGAAUUAGAUCAAAUGCAGGUACCAACCUUAGAUGGGCUUAAAGGUAGAAUGAAGAUGACGACUUUCCAUGAACUUUUACUUGCUAGGUGUGUAGAAGAUUUGUAUAAUGUGCCAUGUUUAACUGAAGAAGAAAUUGCAACGUCUGAAAACGAAGCAGUUAUUUCAUUGAGAUUAAAACAUGUUGGAUUAGUACACUUCAUGAGAGAACUUCAUAAAAAUCAGAUAUUAACAGACGAAUCAGUGGUGGAGUGUGUAGUAUAUUUGCUUAAAACAUGGCGAACAAAGAGUGAAGGAAAUUUAGAAUGUGUUUGUAGGCUUCUUUUAAUGUUUGGUGAAGAAUUGGAAGCCAGAAAAGUUGAUCUAAAUUCACAUUUUAAUACAUUAAAGCAAAUAUGUAACAACAAACAGAAAAUUAGUAGUAUGUUAAGGUUAAUUUCGCAAUCAUUGCAUGACUUGUGGAAAGCAAAGUGGGCUCCUGAGAAGCGAGAAAUUUGUCAGAUGCUACAAAAUGCCUACAAUCCACGUAUGACAAAAACGGAACUAUGUGGGAUAACAGUUUCAUUAAUGAAGAAACAGGCCUUAAAACGCAUUAAAUUACUUCAAAUCGAUACAUAUGAACAAUUAAAUGGUGUCGUUACUGUAAUAUUUAGCAAAGCUUCAGUUUGUCCUGAAUUUUGUCUUCAAGUUUGUAUGGCAUUAUUACAUAUAAAGGUGCCUUGUAUAAAAAAUGAUUCUUUACAAAUUGUCGACAUACAAAGAGCUUUACGUAACAAAUGUGAGAAAGAAAAGGGAAGCCCCGGUUUCACUAAAUUAAAACCUGGUUUCAAUAAAUUCAUAGGAUUUCUCUUCGAGAAAGAAUUGAUUACGAGCGCAAUUGUAGUAAAGUGGAUUGCAAAGUUGCUCAAAAAUGUGAACGAAAAUAGUUUGGUAAGUGCUCACGAACUUCUUGUGCAAGUUGGUGAACGAUUAGAAAAGAACGGUAUAGAUUUGAGUCCGCAUUAUAACAGGAUAAAUGGAAUAGUUCAGAAGGAACCUGGAACAAUAAGCAACAAUGUAUUGAUAAAAUUAGGUUGUUUACUUACAUGGCGGAAUGCUAUGCUUUCACUUCAACGAGUUCAACCUCCGCAAUUUCAGACAAUUACAAAUCAACCGAAUAAUGAUGUUCAGCAUAAGCUGUUUGAAGGAUUACAAAAAUUAACCCUGUCCAACAAUUCAUCAGAAACUAUAUCUCAGUAUCAAACUGUUCCUCAACAAAUAAAAGUAAUAACCAAAAACGGAAUACAAACAAAGGAUAUCAUUGUCCUCCCCGAUCAUUCUGCACAACAAAUACAUGGAAAAGGAUUGCCAGAAAACUCAAAAUGGUUGAAAGAUAGCAGGAUAAUGUCACAGUCUGAAAACAACAUUUCUCUAUCUGACCAUUCACAAAACGACAAACAAUUGCCUUCUACCUCGAAGAUAACGAUCUUACCGAAUAACGAAAAACUUAAGUUGGAGGAUGUUUCAAACGGUACUGCUUCUUUUGCGGAAGUUCAUAAAAAGUUGCUGACGUUAUUUUCAGUAAACACGCCAAUCAAUGAAGUGAUACAAUGGAUACAGACAAACAUAGGUGAAGCGAAAGAAGAAGAAGCAUUCGUUAGGGCUUUGAUGACGGCUAUUCUUCAACAGUGUAUAGUAAAUAAUAAGUUGAAUGACCAGGCAUUUAAAAACUUUUAUCAGUAUAUUCACAGACUUUAUAUUGGUUCUUCUGACUCGGUGGAGAUUUAUUGUCUGUAUGCUAUUCAAACAUUAUGUUAUAAACUGGGUUUUCCAGAAGGUCUUUUGUUAACAACAUUCAAAAAAUUGUAUGAAGAUAGUAUUAUUUUGCCCGAGAGUUUCUUAACGUGGAAAGCUUGCUCCGAUCCCACCAAACAGGCGGGGAAAGGUAAGUAAAUAUUUAACGGUUUUUAUACGUAUAUUCAUAAUUUAUUAUUAAAUGUCUAGAUGACGCUUUAAAACAGUUAAAGGAUUUUUUUGCGGAAUUGAAAACGGGUGAAUAUGAAGACAUGUGAUAGAUUUAUUUUUAAAGUGAGAAUGAAUGUACCCUAUAUUUUUUACAUGUUCAGUUAUUAACAUAUUAAAUAAUGA